rnacentral:snRNA from 1 species
AUUUCAUGGGCGGAAGAUAUUCUGAAAUUGGAACGAUACAGAGAAGAUUAGCAUGGCCCGUGCACAAGGAUGACACGCAAAUUCGUGAAGCGUUCCAUAUUUUU